rnacentral:rRNA from 1 species
GACAGAGGGUGCAAACGUUGUUCGGAAUUACUGGGCGUAAAGCGCGUGUAGGCGGCUAAGUAAGUCGGGCGUGAAAUCCCACGGCUCAACCGUGGAAGUGCACUCGAAACUGCAUAGCUAGAGUCCUGGAGAGGAAGGUGGAAUGCUUGGUGUAGAGGUGAAAUUCGUAGAUAUCAAGCGGAACACCGGUGGCGAAGGCGGCCUGCUGGGCAGUAGCUGACACUGAGGCGCGACAGCGUGGGGAGCAAACAGG